rnacentral:misc_RNA from 1 species
UGUUGACCUCGAUAUCCUCGAUUUACCAACUGAGGAAAGAUGAAGUUACAGCCCGGGGAGAAGAGUGGCACAAACAGAUCGAGGAGAUCGUGAAGAAACUUCACCAGGAACUGGAUGACAUGCAAAAGGAACACGAGGCUGUACUACAGAAACAAAAGAAAGAAUUUGAAGAAUUGAUUGGAAAAGUGGAUGAAAUGAACGGGAAAACAGUAAAAUUACAGAAAUCAAAGAAUGUCAAAGAAAUGCAGACUUUUGUACCAGUGAUUCAGAAUCGGAAGAAAUUAAAUGAGGUCUCUCAGUAUUCGUUUCCGACAUUUUAUGAAUGCAAAAUAGAUCCAAUUUAUUUACAGACUUAUUUCGGAUACGUUGCAAAAAUGCAGGUAAAAAAAAUUUCGCUCUUGGAAAAUGAAUUCAAAGAAAUGGAGUUACCGGGUAGAAGAAUAUUAGAGAGAUACCAACAGUUACUUCUGUUAUAGACACUGGGUUCCCUGCUAAUGAAAAAAAUAAAAACCGUCUGUAUAACAUGGCCGUUACCGACGAUAACAAAGUGUGGAUGGGAGGAGAGGGCAGAGAACUGAAGUUGUUUGAUCUCCAGGGUCACCUUUGCCAUACCGUCAGCAUUAUUUGUAAUGGGUUUUACAUAUGUAUGUACAACAAACAAGUAGUGUACAGUGAUACAUUAAAUAAAGCCGUGAGAAUGAUAUCUGACACCGACACUGUGGUGACGAUGUUCACUACCGGGGACUGGAAACCAUAUGGCGUCACAAGCGCGGCGUCCGGUGAUCUACUGGUCUGUCUCCGUAAAGACGAUCAGUCCAAAGUCGUCCGAUACAGCAGUACCGGUACCGUGCUCCAGGAAAUCCAGUACGACUCACAGUGUCAACCUCUGUACAAAGAGGCGGCUUACGUCACUGAGAAUGUCAACGGGGACAUCAUUGUAACUGACUGGGAGAAAAAGGCCGUCAUUGCUCUCGAUAGAUUGGGCAUAUUCCGGUACUCGUACUCGGGUGUUUCAUAUUCUACGGUAACCACUGAUUAUGUCGGUCAUGUGAUCGUUACUGACGUAAACGGUGACAUGAUUCACCUGCUGGACAGAGACGGACGAUUCCUGAGGUACAUCAUUCCUGACGGAGGGAUAAAAGUACCACGCUGCAUGUGUAUCCUUGGUGACGGUGAGAUGAUGGUGGGAGAGUGUAUGACCGGAAUAGCCAAAAGAAUCAAAUACUUAGAAGAAUGAAGGCACAUCGGUGUUAUUUAUCAUUCUGUUACAAAAAUAGUAAUAGGUAUUUGACAUUUAUGACUUUGGCUAUUACUGUUUGUACAACUAUACUGCAUAUGUCUAGUAUCCAUAUACAAUAGAGUAUAAGACUAAACUCAUCCUAUAUUUAGACUGUAAGCGAAAACCAACCAAAAAAAAACCUUAUGCUACAAAGCCGCUUAAUCAAUGAUAAAAUUUAUGCAUCAUUACAUGUUGCGAUGUACAAAAUAUUCAGAUUGCAAAAAAUAAAACAAUUGAAUAAU